GACGAACGCUGGCGGCGUGCCUAAUACAUGCAAGUAGAACGCAGUUGCGAACGCGUGAGUAACGCGUAGGUAACUGCCUCAUAGCGGGGGAUAAAUAUUGGAAACGAUAGCUAAUACCGCAUACUGUGAGACGGACCUGAGUUGGAUUAGCUAGUUGGUGAGGUAAAGGCGCACCAAGGCGGCGAUACAUAGCCGACCUGAGAGGGGGAACCGCCACACUGGGAAUGGGUACAGGGCCAAACUCCUUACGGAGGCAGCCGUAGGGAAUUUUCGGAAAUGGGCGGAAAGCUGACCGAACAACGCCGCGUGAGUGAAGAAAGUUUUCGGAGCGUAAAGCUCUGUUGUUAGAGAAGCGGUAACUAACCAGAAAGGGACGGCUAACUACGUGCCAGCAGCCGCGGUAAUUC
rnacentral:rRNA from 1 species